CGCACAUUGCGCCCCUCGGUAUUCCGUGGGGCAUGCCUGUUCGAGCGUCAUCUACACCCUCAAGCUCUGCUUGGUGUUGGGCGUCUGUCCCGCCUCUGCGCGCGGACUCGCCCCAAAUUCAUUGGCAGCGGUCCUUGCCUCCUCUCGCGCAGCACAUUGCGUUUCUGAGGGGUGCGGCCCGCGUCCAGCAAGCAAUUUUUACCGUCUUUGACCUCGGAUCAGGUAGGGAUACCCGCUGAACUUAA
rnacentral:misc_RNA from 1 species